rnacentral:rRNA from 1 species
CCUACGGGGUGCAGCAGUGAGGAAUAUUGGUCAAUGGACGAGAGUCUGAACCAGCCAAGUAGCGUGAAGGAUGACUGCCCUAUGGGUUGUAAACUUCUUUUAUAUGGGAAUAAAACGUUCCACGUGUGGGAUUUUGUAUGUACCAUAUGAAUAAGGAUCGGCUAACUCCGUGCCAGCAGCCGCGGUAAUACGGAGGAUCCGAGCGUUAUCCGGAUUUAUUGGGUGUAAAGGGAGCGUAGGUGGAUUGUUAAGUCAGUUGUGAAAGUUUGCGGCUCAACCGUAAAAUUGCAGUUGAAACUGGCAGUCUUGAGUACAGUAGAGGUGGGCGGAAUUCGUGGUGUAGCGGUGAAAUGCUUAGAUAUCACGAAGAACUCCGAUUGCGAAGGCAGUUCACUGGACUGCAACUGACACUGAGGCUCGAAAGUGUAGGUAUCAAACAGGAGUAGAUACCCGAGUAGUC